rnacentral:rRNA from 1 species
UACGGGGGGGGCAAGCGUUGUUCGGAAUUACUGGGCGUAAAGGGGACGUAGGCGGCCAACUAAGUCCGACGUGAAAUCCCAAGGCUUAACCUUGGAACUGCGUCGGAUACUGGAUGGCUUGAAUUCGGGAGAGGGAUGCAGAAUUCCAGGUGUAGCGGUGAAAUGCGUAGAUAUCAGGAGGAACAUCAAUUGCGAAGGCAGCUCGCUGGGACGUAACUGACGCUGAGACGCGAAAGCGUGGGGAGCAAACAGG